CUACGGGCGGCUGCAGUGAGGAAUAUUGCACAAUGUGGGGAACCCUGAUGCAGCAACGCCGCGUGGAGGAUGACGCAUUUCGGUGUGUAAGCUCCUUUUAUAUGUCAAGAAAAUGACGGUAGCAUAUGAAUAAGCACCGGCUAACUCCGUGCCAGCAGCCGCGGUAAUACGGAGGGUGCAAGCGUUACUCGGAAUCACUGGGCGUAAAGGACGCGUAGGCGGGUUGGAAAGUCAGGUGUGAAAUCCUACAGCUUAACUGUAGAACUGCACUUGAAACUUCUAAUCUAGAGUAUGGGAGGGGGAGAUGGAAUUAGUGGUGUAGGGGUAAAAUCCGUAGAUAUCACUAGGAAUACCUAAAGCGAAGGCGAUCUCCUGGAACAUUACUGACGCUAAGGCGUGAAAGCGUGGGGAGCAAACAGGAUUAGAUACCCUCGUAGUC
rnacentral:rRNA from 1 species